rnacentral:rRNA from 1 species
GUUUGAAAUUUUUAUAUAAUUAUAGGUUAAAUUUUAAUUAUUUAAAAUGUAUAGUUAUAAUUUUAAAUUUUGUUAAUCGAAUUAGAUUAGUACCUAAUUAGUCAAAAGUUAAAAAAGCAGAAGUAAAGUAAAAUUUAAACUGAAAGAAUAUUGGCAGAUUUUCUAAAUUAUCUUUGGAGGUUGAGUAAUAAUUGAGAACCCUCAUUAACUACUUUUUUAGUUGUCUCAUGUAUGAUCGUUUAUUAUAUGCUUAAGGGAUAUAAUUAAAAAUUUUUAUUUAAAAAAAUAGAUAUAUAUUUGGUUUAUAUAAAAGUAAUAUUUGACCUACAGUAAUUUGUAAUUGUGGAUCUAUUUUUUAGUAAAGUAGUGAAAAUGUAAAAGACAGUAAAAAAAUUUUUAUGAUUUUUUGAAGAUU